rnacentral:hammerhead_ribozyme from 1 species
GCACUGCUGACGAGUCGCCAGCAGGACGAAACAGCUGUCCAGUGC